CAUCGACUCCUCAAACUCGAGAACAUGUGCAUGACUAGGCUAUCCACUCAAGAUUAGGAGAGGUGGGGUAGCUCGAGUCUUCUUUUGAUGAUGAUUAGAGAUGAAAGAAUGUGUCUUCCCCAAACUUUUAUUUUAAUUUGUUAUAAAUAGUUUCAUGUAUUUUUCUUUGGAACAAUUAGGAUAUUAACUCUUGUUAUUAGUAUUGAAUAUUUGAGGAUGGUGAAAUUUUAUUUAUUGAUGUUAUUAAUGAAUGAAAUUUUUAUUUUCCCUUUUAUUCA